UGUAACAAUGACGUUUAUGCACGCGAUUAAAAUUGUUGAGGUUAUGAAUAAUUGCAAAAUGCAGAAAUAGACGACGUAACGUUAGUUCGUCGAUGAGAGGACACGCGAUAUCUGCGUUGCGAGUGAUCGACGAUAUCCUGAGACGUUAACUCGAUACCAAUAAACGGAGAAACUGUCUCGUUAAUGUGAACCGAGGAUCAAAUGUACGAAAGCAUAAAUCGGAUCGACGGUAGGAAAGAACACUUGACGCGUUUCGACGAAGUGUAAGAAAUGGAAAGUCGAUUAUUCAAAUCAGAAGAGAAUUGUUUCUCCCUUUACUUGGUAGUUCCGUUAAAUCUACGUCCACUACGUUCAAUAAAUAGAAAUAAAUACCGUGA